CGUACGGGACGACCCGCGCGAUCCUCGCGUACGCGGGGGAGGACGACCUCG
rnacentral:ncRNA from 2 species